UACGGGGGGGGCAAGCGUUGUUCGGAAUUACUGGGCGUAAAGGGCUCGUAGGCGGCCAACUAAGUCGGAUGUGAAAUCCCCAGGCUUAACCUGGGAACUGCAUCCGAUACUGGAUGGCUUGAAUCCGGGAGAGGGAUGCAGAAUUCCUGGUGUAGCGGUGAAAUGCGCAGAUAUCAGGAGGAACACCAAUGGCGAAGGCAGCUCGCUGGGACGUGACUGACGCUGAGACGCGAAAGCGUGGGGAGCAAACAGG
rnacentral:rRNA from 1 species